GACGAACGCUGGCGGCGUGCUUAACACAUGCAAGUGGUGCGACGAACCAGGCUUCGGCCUGGGGCGAAGCCGCGAACGGGUGAGUAACACGUGGGCAAUCUGCCCCGUCGACCGGGACAACCCGGGGAAACCCGGGCUAAUAACGAAUGUGGUGCCGGCUCAUGAGAGCCGGUACGAACGGAAGCUUCGGCCUCCGCGCCGGGAUGAGCCCGCGGCCCAUUAGCUUGUUGGUGGGGUAAUGGCCUACCAAGGCAACGAUGGGUAGCUGGUCUGAGAGGACGAUCAGCCACACUGGGACUGAGACACGGCCCAGACUCCUACGGGAGGCUGCAGUGGGGAAUCUUGCGCAAUGAGCGACAGCUUGACGCAGCAACGCCGCGUGGGGGAAGAAGGCUUUCGGGUCGUAAACCCCUUUCAGUUAGGACGAAGCUUUUUUGGUUAAUAGCCAAACGGAGUGACGGUACUUUCAGAAGAAACCCCGGCUAACUACGUGCCAGCCGCCGCAGUAA
rnacentral:rRNA from 1 species